GGACUACACGGGUAUCUAAUCCCGUUUGCUCCCCUGGCUUUCGUGCCUCAGCGUCAGGAAAUGUCCAGAGACUCGCCUUCGCCACUGGUGUUCCACUUGAUAUCUACGCAUUUCACUGCUACACCAAGUAUUCCAGUCUCCCCUCCAUUCCUCUAGUCAGAUAGUUUCCAACGCAGUUUCCGGGUUAGGCCCGGAGAUUUCACGUCAGACUUAAAUGACCGCCUACGCACCCUUUACGCCCAGUGAAUCCGAACAACGCUUGGGACCUCUGUAUUACCGCGGCUGCUGGCAC
rnacentral:rRNA from 1 species